rnacentral:rRNA from 1 species
GUGGGGAAUAUUGGACAAUGGGCGAAAGCCUGAUCCAGCCAUGCCGCGUGUGUGAAGAAGGUCUUCGGAUUGUAAAGCACUUUAAGUUGGGAGGAAGGGCAGUAAGUUAAUACCUUGCUGUUUUGACGUUACCGACAGAAUAAGCACCGGCUAACUUCGUGCCAGCAGCCGCGGUAAUACGAAGGGUGCAAGCGUUAAUCGGAAUUACUGGGCGUAAAGCGCGCGUAGGUGGUUCAGCAAGUUGGAGGUGAAAUCCCCGGGCUCAACCUGGGAACUGCCUACAAAACUACUGGGCUAGAGUACGGUAGAGGGUAGUGGAAUUUCCUGUGUAGCGGUGAAAUGCGUAGAUAUAGGAAGGAACACCAGUGGCGAAGGCGACUACCUGGACUGAUACUGACACUGAGGUGCGAAAGCGUGGGGAGCAAACAGGAUUAGAAACCCUGGUAGUCC